rnacentral:rRNA from 1 species
UACGUAGGGGGCUAGCGUUGUCCGGAAUUACUGGGCGUAAAGGGCGCGUAGGCGGCCCGCUAAGUCGAACGUGAAAUCCCUCGGCUCAACCGAGGAACUGCAUCCGAAACUGCGAGGCUCGAGUCCUGGAGAGGGUAGUGGAAUUCCCAGUGUAGCGGUGAAAUGCGUAGAUACUGGGAGGAACACCGGUGGCGAAGGCGGCUACCUGGACAGGUACUGGACGCUGAGGCGCGAAAGCCAGGGGAGCA